rnacentral:lncRNA from 1 species
UCCCACUCCUGGCUCUCGGCGGCGUGUGGACUCCAAUCCCCGGGCACCUGCGCGGCCAGGCCAGCGAUUCUAGGGGUCCCGGGGCGCCCCGAAGCCGCCACCUAAACAAGACGCAGGAAUAAUACCGGGAGAGUUGCUAACGUGGAAGAGAGAAGCUCACCAAGUCCUCAACACUCGAAAGAACUAGAAGCAGCUAAGGAAGACAGAGAGUAGGAGAAACACCCUUUCCAGGAGAGAAAGCACCAACUGCUGAUCCAGUAUCAGACAGUCAGCCCUGGAAAUAUAUACGCACAAGUAACAUUAUAUGGGCCUGGACGGCUGUGAUCUCUUCGCGAUUGGCUCUUUUAUCUUUUCACAAUGGAAAGGGAACAAGGAGAAAACUCUGAGGGGGUGGGGCAUCUCAUUGGUGCCAGAUGGGAGUGGAAAGCCCUUUGCUAUGUUGCCUGUGUUUGAAGAAAGACUCUGACACCGACUGGCUGUGUGAUCCUGGACAGACUGCAUCACCUCAUGGACAUUUUUUCAUCUGUGAGGGGAAGAUUUCCUGGCAGUGGUCUGAGAAAUGGUGGCAAGGACUGAAGGAGUUACAUGCAUGGAGAGUACUGUACCACCAGUUGGGCAGAGAUGGAAUUGCACUUCUUUUUGCUCUGUCUUUUCAUCAUCUUAGAAGUGGGUGGAGCCUCCUCUUCAUAAUUCCUACAGGGUUUAAUACUGAGGAGAAACUUUGUAAAGUAAAGGAUUUUUAGGGUUGGGGCGGUGGCACAGUAGGUAAAGCGCUCGCUGUGUCAGCCUGAGGACCCGGGCUGGUACUUACAACAAAGCAUGGUAUGAUCAUCAAUAAUGCCAGCACAGUUGCAUAACGACGGGCACAUCCCCGGGGAAUCAGCUGCCAGCCAAUCUCAUGCUAGGUUCAGUGAGCAAUUUCUCCCCAAAAAUAAGCUGGAGAAGGACAGAGGAUGACGCUGAACUUUGACCUCUGGCCUCCACACACAUGCAUGAGUGAGUGCACCCACAUCAACACACACACACACAUGUGAAAAACAAAUCUUUUAAAAUAAUAAUAUGGGUCCCUAAGUACUGGAAUUGAGAACAGUGCCUACAUCCCAACGUUUGUAAGAUGUCAGUGGACUGCAGAAUAAGUGUGGGGAUAGUCCUCAUGGUAAUUAUUUGAAGUUUCUUUCGGGCGGUAGUAAAUGUCAAAUUCUUUCCA